GAACAAAAAAUCCUGCUGUCCAUCUACACUAUGGGGCUUUCCUUGAGGCGCGAGGUGGCCAGCACCCAAAGAAACCCUCUAGGGAAGACGGUGUUGAGGGUGGCCGUCCACACGGAAUCUGUGAUCAAAGAAAAUUGCCGGAGGAUUCACCAGCAAAGCCAGAAACAAAUGAACAAAGAGCAGAAAAAGCCAGUGCUGUCCACUGAGCCCCCGAAGCCCCAGGAAAAGGGGAGUCAGAAAAGACGUCUGAAACAAAUGGUGGAGCGCUUUGCCGCAUGCUGGGAGAAGCUGUACUCGCUCCACUCCCGGCUAGAGGACACUCCGGGCCCCUAGCCCGCCAGCUGGACUCUCCUCCCGGGACGAAGCCACUCGGCUCCCCGCACCUGGUGCUCGGGACAUCUGUGAGCGAAGGGGCUUGCGACAUGACCUGAUGGAACUUAACCUCUCCCCGUUCCCACCCCUUCCUUCAAUUUCCUUAACAAACUGAGAGGACCAUCCUUGGGAUCUUCCUGCUCCCUGCCUGGUCUCACCAGGGGAUGAGGGGAGGAGGGGUGCUGGAAGCCAGGGAGAAGCCUCCACCCUCUCCCACCCCUGUACUGUGCUGACAUUUUGGGUCUCCCUUUGCCUGAGGCCCGGUGGUUCAGCUUGUGGUAUUUAGGGGUGAGUUUAGCAAAUGGAGGUGAAGAGUCAGGAUGAAAGCUCAGAGAGGUCUGCGGUGGGCUGCAUUGCUGAAGGUGCUCAAGAACCCUCCCAGAGCCUUGGAGUGAGGUCACAGAGGACCAGUGGGGUAGGGCUAAUGGAGCCCUGGCUAAUUCUUGCAAGUUUCAGCUCCUUGGCUUCCCUCCUUGUCAUGUCUCAGUUAUUCUCUCCUGAGCCGGCUGUUCCCUUGCCGGCUGAUUUGCCCCUUGCUUCCUCAAUGCCAGCAAGGGGGAUGAAAUUGGAAAAGUCAUGGGGACCAGAAAGACCUCAGUCCAUUUGAAAAAGAAUUCCCCAUCUCCCUGCAGGAUGGCUUCCUGCCGCACUAAGAUGCCUGUAGGAAGAGGACAGAGUUCCAGGAAGAAGCGAAACUCGGGAGGAAGUUCCUCGGGGAGCACCAGUUCAGCAGCUUGGCUAAGAUGCUCUAAAUUCUUCUCUUGCUUCAGUUGGAUGGGAUUGUCAUCUUUCCUGAUACUGCCUGUCUUCAGCCUGCACCAUUUUUCAGUUAUGAUGGUUGCUGGGCCUCUCCUCAGAGUCGGCUGCAUCUCCAGGGUAGGUGAAGUCUUCCCAACAAGGUGUUGACCACUAAGCCCAGUGCCUGCAAACUAUCCUGGAUCUGGGUGAAUGAGUUUGCCACAAGCACAGAUGGGCUCCAUUGGCAAGACAAACAGAGGAAUCCUUCGGGAUUCAGCCGAAGUGGGAGGGCAGGAUUUGGUGACUCUUCCUUCCCUUGGCCCUCUGAGUCCUGUACCAGUCCUCCAGGGUUUGCAGUUGCUGGAGGGUUGGUGGUGGGGAGAAGAGAGAGAACGAGAACCAAUACACCCUGGGCAAGGGCUUGGAAGCCAUAGCGAGAAGGGCACGAUCAACAUGGGGGCUGAUGGGAAAUGUUUGGGGGCCUCCUGGUCUUACGUCGUCUGCUACAUGUAUUGUGAAUAAACAAAGUUCCGGUGCUAAAGAUGGUGCUUCUACCCAGAACACUCGUGGGGGUGGGGCGGAGGGAGAGGGUAGCACAGGAUCCCUGAAAAUACCCGUUUCCUCCCUCUAAAAUGAACAACUUGCAGAAUACAUGAGAGGGCACCAUUACCCAGACCGACGGUGACCUUGGGGAUCCUGCUGGAAAUAGGGAAGGGAAGCCACAGCCCACAUUCUUAAAACAUCACAGUGCUAGUCUCAUAAAUCUGCCUGCGAUUUAUGCCCCCACAGGCCUUUCCUACUGAGGCCUGCAUUUUCCGGCCUAUUGUCAUAUGACCACAGUCUCUUUGAUCUGCUGGAAGUUGGGGUCUCUAUAAGUGGGGUUGCUCUGAUGCAAAACAUUACUCUCCACUCUGGGGCUAAUUGAGGCCCUUUAAGGGGUUUUCUAGGCCCCGAGGAGUCUCAGAUGUGACCCUUCCCUGCCCCGCCUCUGUGCAGCACCUGUCUUCCCCUGGCAGAAGAGCCACCUUUCAUUCAUUCAUUCAUUCAUUCAUUCAAUAGUAUUUAUUGAGCACUUACUAUGUGCAGAGCACUGUACUAAGCGCUUGGAAUGAACAAGUCAGCAACAGUUCUGGCCCAAGGCUUGGAAUGACUUUGGGAUUUCUCUCCAGGUCAUAAAAUCUCAGCACUAGCUGGGUAAACCAUCCAUCUAGGAAGGAAAACACUGCCAGAAGCCUAGGCAAUUGGGGCUCAAAUGCACUGAAUUAAUCGUGGAAACAGCCUCCUGACUGGUGAAAGGUGAGAAGACCGGGAAAUCUGGUCUGGGGGUUUGUGUUUUGCUGUCCGGUGUUUGUAAUCACCUUUUCAAAGCCUGGUAGUAAAUUUUCUUUCCUAAUAGCUUCACCUGUCUCUAUUGCUUUCCACUUUCCAGAGUUUCAACCCCUUUUCUGUGAAAUGGAGAGUACGAGAGCAACGAUUAGA
rnacentral:lncRNA from 1 species